rnacentral:rRNA from 1 species
UACGAAGGGACCAAGCGUUGUUCGGAUUUACUGGGCGUAAAGGGCGCGUAGGCGGCGUGACAAGUCACUUGUGAAAUCUCUGGGCUUAACCCAGAACGGCCAAGUGAAACUGUUGUGCUAGAGUGCAGAAGGGGCAAUCGGAAUUCUCGGUGUAGCGGUGAAAUGCGUAGAUAUCGAGAGGAACACCAGAGGUGAAGACGGGUUGCUGGGCUGACACUGACGCUGAGGCGCGAAAGCCAGGGGAGCAAACGGG